rnacentral:rRNA from 1 species
UACAGAGGGUGCAAGCGUUAAUCGGAAUUACUGGGCGUAAAGCGCACGUAGGUGGUUUGUUAAGUUGGAUGUGAAAUCCCCGGGCUCAACCUGGGAACUGCAUCCAAAACUGGCAAGCUAGAGUAUGGUAGAGGGUGGUGGAAUUUCCUGUGUAGCGGUGAAAUGCGUAGAUAUAGGAAGGAACACCAGUGGCGAAGGCGACCACCUGGACUGAUACUGACACUGAGGUGCGAAAGCGUGGGGAGCAAACAGG